AUACGUAGGGUGCAAGCGUUAAUCGGAAUUACUGGGCGUAAAGCGUGCGCAGGCGGUUUUGUAAGACAGUGGUGAAAUCCCCGGGCUCAACCUGGGAAAUGCCCUUUUCACUGCAAGGCUGGAGUGCGGGAGAGGGGGAUGGAAUUCCGGGUGUAGAAGUGAAAUGCGGAGGUAUGCGGUGGAACACCGAUGGCGAAGGCAAUCCCCUGUGCCUGGACUGACGCUCUUGCACGAAAGCGUGGGGAGCAAACAGGAUUAGAUACCCUGUUAGUCCACGCCCAAAACGAUGUCAACUGGUUGUUGGCGAUUUAUUUUCUCAGUAACGAAGCUAACGAGUGAAGGUGACCGCCUGGGGAGUACGGCCGCAAGGUUAAAACGCAAAUGGAUGGACGGG
rnacentral:rRNA from 1 species